GAUGUACUCCCUCCGUUCGGAAUUACUUGUCGCAGAAAUGGAUGUAUCUAGAACAUCUAGAUACAUCCAUUUCUGCGACAAGUAAUUCCGAACGGAGGGAGUAGGUA
rnacentral:pre_miRNA from 1 species